rnacentral:sRNA from 1 species
AUUUUAAAGAUGUUGGAAGAUCCAUAUGCUGCCUGGAGGCUGUUGUUUCUAGGGACACAAGUAUCCAGCCUAUAUUGUUACAAUUUUUUUUCAAGAACUGCCGUCUUCUUUGCCUGCACUAAUGUAACAUUUUGCGUUUUCCUUAUAUUACAAAAUUAUGUGUGUUAGUGUAUUUUCAAUUUAACCAAACAUUUGAGUUUUAGUUCCUUCAACGUUGUAAAAGUUGAAUUUCAUUUUGAACCUAGGGAUUUCUUAAAUAACUAUUGUAAGUUUCUCCUGAGGUUUUUCUAAUAAAUAGUCAUAUAAUAAUUCCCACAUUAUUGUUUGUUUCAUUUUGAAAUGAUACUGCAACUGAAUUACAGAUAGUCAUGUUUUAAAAAUAAUAAAUAUUCUGGAAUAAGAUAAUUUUUUAAGAAUAUGUGCACAAUUGCUUUUGGCUUUAAAAAU